rnacentral:lncRNA from 1 species
GAAAUCUGAGUAAAGAAUUCUUAGUUGCUAAGCAUUACCAAAUCAGUGUGUGAGAUAUCAAGGUUAAAGCUCGAGAAGGUAUAAUUUCUACUCCGUUCUUAACUUGAGUCUUGUUGAUUCUCGUUUUUCAGAUUAUUAGGUCAAGUAUGAUGAAUUAGCAUGAUAAAGGGUGUUUAGAAAGUUUACCUUCGUGCAUGAAUACGUAAAAAAUUGUCUGGAAUCAAGUUAUGGCUACUCUGCAAAACAGAGCAUGUUCACCGCUUCUGAAAUCCAUGGGGUGCAGCUGCACUGUGCUUAGGAACCAACUGAUGGGUUCGGUCAUGUUAGACCUUGUAUUAAGAAAUUCC